rnacentral:rRNA from 1 species
AGCUCCAAUAGCGUAUAUUAAAGUUGCUGCAGUUAAAAAGCUCGUAGUUGGAUCUCGGGUUUCGGGCCGGCGGUCCGCCCUUCGUCGGCGACGACUGCCCGUCCCGACCCGCCUGCCGGUUCACCCCAGGUGCUCUUGGUUGAGUGUCUGGGGCGGCCGGAACGUUUACUUUGAAAAAAUUAGAGUGUUCAAAGCAGGCCCGUCUAGCCUGAAUAAUGGUGCAUGGAAUAAUGGAAGAGGACCUCGGUUCUAUUUUGUUGGUUUUCGGAACUGGAGGUAAUGAUUAAGAGGGACUGACGGGGGCAUUCGUAUUACGGUGUUAGAGGUGAAAUUCUUGGAUCGUCGUAAGACGAACUACUGCGAAAGCAUUUGCCAAGAAUGUUUUCA